rnacentral:misc_RNA from 1 species
AUGAAGCGCCGAUUCGUUGAGAAACUUUUUUACUUGGUCAGUUUGUGUAUUGCCAUUAGAAGUGCCCAAGGUUUGAUGUGUUUGAGAUGUUUCGAUGUCACUGAACCCAGACUGUGCAACAAAAUUGAACACUGUCAGGACGGAGAGGUAUGUGCAGUGCAGCAGUACCGGGCAGACAAUAGAGACAUAGGCUACUGGACAGGAUGCUAUCCUAAACAGGAAUGCGCUGCUGUGGACAAUAGAACAGUGGUCAGUACCAAGAGAAGUCAGUACAUAGACGGCGUAGUUCAGUGCAGAGACUGUUGUACUUCAGAUAUCUGUAACGCUUACGGCUGUGGCUCUCAUAAAUACCCAGCCACCCGGGGACCGAUUUGUUUUGACUGUGAGAAUGUGUCGGAUCCAAGGGAUUGCCAUACAGUUACUCCCUGUAACCUCAACCAAAAAUGUUUUAUUCACGAAAAAUCCAUCUUUGGAAAAAGGUAUUUCACAUCCAAAUGCGAAUCCAUAAUGGGUUGUCUCCCCCAUUUCACGGGUCCAGUGGUUGGCAGGAGGCGUGACCUGUCGGGGCUGUGUAUUCACUGCUGUGACGGGGAUCUGUGUAAUUCUGACUGUUCUACAGCGUCCAACGCCACCGUCAACAACGUCAACAAACCAGCAAUGCCAGAUUACGUUGCCUUCCACGCUGUCGCCUACAGUCCUACAAAUAACGCUGUGGUUAUUUUUGACCACGUGAUUACAAACGUCGGCGGGGGAUACGACAACACCACAGGAGUGUUUACUGUACCUACCCCCGGACUGUAUGUAUUUUCCUGGACCAUAGAGACGUACGGCCAAAGAACGGAAGCUGUGCUUCUUGUGAAUGGUGUACAGCAAGCAUUGUCAAGGGCCGACCAAGCGUCCUCAUAUUACGACACGACAACUUCUUUUGCUGUUCUUAAACUCAGUUUAGGCGAUGAAGUAAAAGUCAAGGUCACAAAGGGAAACGCGCUAGCAAAGCAUACUUUGUUCUCAGGCUGGAAGAUUAACAAAACUGAAGAUGCAGCGUUUUCUGUGUCCCUGUCUCGAGAAGUUACUGGCAGUACCAUAGUCUUUGACAACGAAACCUUAGACACAGACAGCGCAUACUCCACCUCCACCGGAAGAUUCGUGGCGCCUCGUUCUGGUCUUUACGUUUUCAUGAUGUCGGGUAGUACCUAUGGAAACUAUGAGUACAGCUGUAAACUUUACUUCAGUAACGGUGAAUCUCAACCGGAUGUGUGGGUAGACUCAGCCAGCGGCCUCUAUGAUAGUAGCAGUUUAAUGAGUUUUGGAUGGUUGAAUGCCGGUGAAUAUGUGAAUUCCGAAGCCAGCAGAAUGGCCAGCCAUUCCGUGUUUGCGGGCUGGCAGCUGAUAGAUGACUCAAGCGUUAAUAAAACAACCUACCCCCUAUUCCUUGCCCACCUUUACUCCGACUCUUCUAGAACUCCUGUCGUAUUUAGCAGGAUUUACUCUAGCUAUCACCAUGGUUACUCGGGUAGCACUGGUAUUUUUACGGCAGAUCGAGAUGGAAUUUACAUAUUUCUUUACAACAUAGAGGCUAAUCGGGGACUAGUUCGGACUGAUUUGAGGGUCAAUGGAGUAGAAAAGUUCGAGACGAGAUCCGAUGGACGCCAUUCUGGUUAUGACGACACUUCCGCAGUGGCUGUUCUAGAAUUGUCGUCCAAUGAUCAAGUCUCAGUUGGGGUUAAAUACGGGACGGUGGAUGGGGGACAAUCACUUUUCUUUGGUACACUGCUUGCUGAAACAUAAUGCAUAUCAAUUGUAUAUGACAUUGUGUAAUAAGACAGUACUGCAACACAAAAAUGUAGUUUUGCUGCCUUGGAGGAUUAACAAGGUUGCCAUAAUCUUUAAAAAUCCUUUUUAAAAAAUAUGUGGGUAAACUGUUCAUAAAUAAUAUGAAAAAUG